UGUGGGAGCGAGCUUGCUCACGAUAGCGUCGGCUCAGCUAUAUUUGCAUUGGCUGAUACACCGCAUCGCGAGCAAGCUCGCUCCCACA
rnacentral:misc_RNA from 1 species